rnacentral:rRNA from 1 species
AGAGUUUGAUCAUGGCUCAGGACGAACGCUGGCGGCGUGCCUAAUACAUGCAAGUCGAACGAACCUUGACGAGAACUUGUUCUGGUCAAGGUUAGUGGCGCACGGGUGAGUAACACGUGGGGAACCUGCCCUUUAGUGGGGGAUAACAGUCGGAAACGACUGCUAAUACCGCAUAGACAAACUAACCGCCUGGUUAGCUUGGGAAAGGUGCUACGGCAUCAUUAAAGGAUGGCCCCGCGGUGCAUUAGCUAGUUGGUAAGGUAACGGCUUACCAAGGCCAUGAUGCAUAGCCGACCUGAGAGGGUGAUCGGCCACAUUGGGACUGAGACACGGCCCAAACUCCUACGGGAGGCAGCAGUAGGGAAUCUUCCGCAAUGGACGCAAGUCUGACGGAGCAACGCCGCGUGUGUGAAGAAGGGUUUCGGAUCGUAAAGCACUGUUGUUAGAGAAGAACGGCUACUAGAGGAAAUGUUAGUAGAUUGACGGUAUCUAACCAGAAAGCCACGGCUAACUACGUGCCAGCAGCCGCGGUAAUACGUAGGUGGCAAGCGUUGUCCGGAUUUAUUGGGCGUAAAGGGAGCGCAGGUGGUUUCUUAAGUCUGAUGUGAAAGCCCACGGCUUAACCGUGGAGGGUCAUUGGAAACUGGGGAACUUGAGUGCAGAAGAGGAAAGCGGAAUUCCAUGUGUAGCGGUGAAAUGCGUAGAUAUAUGGAGGAACACCAGUGGCGAAAGCGGCUUUCUGGUCUGUAACUGACACUGAGGCUCGAAAGCGUGGGGAGCAAACAGGAUUAGAUACCCUGGUAGUCC